rnacentral:rRNA from 1 species
AUGAGCCAUACAAUGAAGCUAUGGGAGAGAGUCAUUGAGCACCGCCUAAGAAGAAUGACAAGCGUGACCAAAAAUCAGUUUGGUUUCAUGCCUGGGAGGUCGACCAUGGAAGCCAUUUCCUUGGUACGACAACUUAUGGAGAGAUAUAGGGAGCAUAAGAAGGACUUGCAUAUGGUGUUCAUUGACUUGGAGAAGGCCUAUGAUAAGAUACCGCGGAAUGUCAUGUGGUGGGCCUUGGAGAAACACAAAGUCCCAGCAAAGUACAUUACCAUCAUCAAGGACAUGUACAAUAAUGUUGUGACAAGUGUUCGAACAAGUGAUGUCGACACCGAUGACUUCCCGAUUAAGAUAGGACUGCAUCAGGGGUCAGCUUUGAGCCCUUAUCUUUUUGCAUUGGUGAUGGAUGAGGUCACAAGGGGUAUACAAGGAGAUAUCCCAUGGUGUAUGCUCUUUGCGGAUGAUGUGGCGCUAGUUGACGAUAGUCGGACGGGGGUAAAUAGGAAGUUAGAGUUAUGGAGACAAACCUUGGAAUCGAAAGGGUUUAGGCUUAGUAGAACUAAAACCGAGUACAUGAUGUGCGGUUUCAGUACUACUAGCUGUGAGGAGGAGGAGGUUAGCCUUGAUGGCCAGGUGGUACCUCGGAAGGACACCUUUCGGUAUUUGGGGUCAAUGUUGCAGGAGGAUGGGGGUAUUGAUGAAGAUGUGAACCAUCGAAUCAAAGCCGGAUGGAUGAAGUGGCGCCAAGCUUCUGGCAUUCUCUGUGACAAGAGAGUGCCACAAAAGCUAAAAGGCAAGUUCUACAGGACGGCGAUUCGACCCGCAAUGUUGUAUGGCGCGGAGUGUUGGCCGACUAAAAGGCGACAUGUUCAACAGUUAGGUGUGGCGGAGAUGCGUAUGUUGAGAUGGAUGUGUGGCCACACAAGGAAGGAUCGAGUCCGGAAUGAUGAUAUACGAGAUAGAGUUGGGGUAGCACCAAUUGAGGAGAAGCUUGUCCAACAUCGUUUGAGAUGGUUUGGGCAUAUUCAGCGCAGGCCUCCAGAAGCUCCAGUGUAUAGCGGACGGCUAAAGCGUGCGGAGAAUGUCAAGAGAGGGCGGGGUCGACCGAUUUUGACAUGGGAGGAGUCCGUUAAGAGAGACCUGAAGGAUUGGAGUAUCGACAAAGAGCUAGCUAUGGACAGGGGUGCGUGGAAGCUUGCUAUCCAUGUGCCAGAGCCAUGA